AUACGAAGGGGGCUAGCGUUGUUCGGAAUUACUGGGCGUAAAGCGCACGUAGGCGGAUAUUUAAGUCAGGGGUGAAAUCCCAGAGCUCAACUCUGGAACUGCCUUUGAUACUGGGUAUCUUGAGUAUGGAAGAGGUAAGUGGAAUUCCGAGUGUAGAGGUGAAAUUCGUAGAUAUUCGGAGGAACACCAGUGGCGAAGGCGGCUUACUGGUCCAUUACUGACGCUGAGGUGCGAAAGCGUGGGGAGCAAACAGGAGUAGAAACCCUAGUAGUCC
rnacentral:rRNA from 1 species